CAGCUUCGGCUCCUGGGAGACGACUCCAGGGGCCGUGCGCUCAGCGUCAUUUUCCAAAUCAGAGUAACUCUGAACCGGGUGGGAGAGUCUUCCUCUGACAUCUCUUAUUUUCCUGGUGAAGGAGGCUGAUCUUCCUCCCAGCACUGACGGAUAUCACUCAGGUCGGACACUCUGAUCCUGGUGGGAGUGUCGGUGGUUCCUUAGCCUUUGACCAUUAGACUCUCCUUAACAGGAAGAUUUCUUCUGAAAGUAUAUAAUUUGUGUCUUCAGCACUCACUGAGGUCUUCGUUGGGGCAUGCAGGAUGUUUAGUUGGAGCAUAUGAACUCUUCGUUGCAGCAUUCAGGAACUAGUUCCCUGACCAGGGAUCGAAC
ensembl:lncRNA